rnacentral:rRNA from 1 species
CCUACGGGAGGCAGCAGUGGGGAAUAUUGGACAAUGGGCGAAAGCCUGAUCCAGCAAUGCCGCGUGAGUGAUGAAGGCCUUAGGGUUGUAAAGCUCUUUUACCAGGGAUGAUAAUGACAGUACCUGGAGAAUAAGCUCCGGCUAACUCCGUGCCAGCAGCCGCGGUAAUACGGAGGGAGCUAGCGUUGUUCGGAAUUACUGGGCGUAAAGCGUACGUAGGCGGUUAUUCAAGUCAGAGGUGAAAGCCUGGAGCUCAACUCCAGAACUGCCUUUGAAACUAGAUAGCUAGAAUCUUGGAGAGGUGAGUGGAAUUCCGAGUGUAGAGGUGAAAUUCGUAGAUAUUCGGAAGAACACCAGUGGCGAAGGCGACUCACUGGACAAGUAUUGACGCUGAGGUACGAAAGCGUGGGGAGCAAACAGGAUUAGAUACCCUGGUAGUCCACGCCGUAAACGAUGAUAACUAGCUGUUCGGGCUCUACGAGCUUGAGUGGCGCAGCUAACGCAUUAAGUUAUCCGCCUGGGGAGUACGGUCGCAAGAUUAAAACCUCAAAGGAAUUGACGG